rnacentral:lncRNA from 1 species
CUGUUUUCUCUCUACUGUGACACGGCACUCCUCAUCACACCAACUGUUCUUUUCCGAAAACCAAUGGUUUCGCUUGCAGCUGUAUGUAAGCACCCUUGUAGCGAGAUGCUGACGAAUGCGUUAAGAUCUCGGAGCGUACGCACGUCUACUGGAGGCGCGUUUUUGUCUAUCAUAACAAGAUCGAUCUGGUCUCUCGCACAACGAAUGUAGUAAACGCUAAGGAUCUACUUGUCUCAGUCCUUGUCCCGAUCAUCGCACUUCUUUUUUACGAUGACAUCAACCAAUUGGACAGCAGCACCUUCCCAAUUUCAGGAACCGGACAUUGCAGGUCCCUGCCCGAGCCUCUUGUUUCGUUUUCAUUGGGGACGUUUUUUACGUGGAGGAUACUUGGUCCCAAACCAAGCGCACAACCCUGGGGAGAGAUGGUUCACUCACUUUAGCUCGCCUUCAAACGAAUGUUUUUUUGGCUACCCAGAGGAUACGUGGUAAAGACCGGAAGUCGAGAGCUGCUUAAGCCUUAUGUAAAAUAAUCGUUUCUGGCUACUCCCAAGUGAAUGGCAAUCAGAGAACUGUCGUCACUUGUGUGAGCUUCUAAAAUUUUAGAAAUCGCCUACUUCCUAUAUAAAAAUUUUAAAUUCCAAUAAACAAAACUCUGAGAUAUAAGGUGUUAUUUAAAAUUCGAUAAAUUCCUUGUCUCUGACUUCAAUUGAGGGGGGUCUAGUUAAGUUCUUUCAGUGGUUUACGUGGUUGCGUCUUCUCAUUUAAAGAUUUUUAUGCUUUGUAAUUUGAAUUGUGGAUAAAACAUAGCGGUAACUUAAUUUUUUUUGUUAAAGUUCAAUCCAAAUUAUUUAUUGCAGGCUUGCGGAAAGUACAUGCCGGCUUCAGGCAAUGCUCAAAACAGUGAAAACAACCAGCCAAUGGACGGUACAUACUUGGUGGAAGCUUCCUUUUAAUGCGUAAUAUUCUUAUUUACUGCAAGUUCUACAUGAUAUGAUAUUUAUCAUUCAAACACAGUUGGAAAUAAUUGUUUGCCAUUAUUUUGUAAAAUAAAACUGUCCGUAAACAAAAUGAGGAUUUGAGUAUAUGCAACGGAUACAAUAAUGACAAUAUUCAACGAAGAAGUUCCAUUAAAUUCUUUUGUGUGAAAUCAAGUUUCUAGUGCCGAGGCAUUCAGAAUAUUGGAAAAGGCAUUCGGUGAUUAUUGUUUGUCGCGAGCACUUUUUCGAGGAUUGGAAACAGCGUUGACACAAGUCGACACGACAUAGAUUUUGAAGAAUAAAUUAAGAAUUUUAAAGUUAUGAACAAAUUA